CAAUGAGGAUGAAAGUCUGAUGAUCUACUUCCACUUAAUAAACAGACCUGUCCAAAAUUGGAACUUGGCUAACAGGAUGCUGAAGAAAACAGCAUACUCCCUUGGAAAUGAGAUUCUAUACAUGCUGUAGAAUACUUGACAUUUAUUAUAAUCUUUUCUUAACUAUUCAGGAAAUAGUUUUUGUCCAUUUUAACAGGAUUUGUUAAAACUUUCUACAAUUGCUGUCAGAUAAAGGGAAAUUGCUAUUAGUGAAUUGCUUUUAUUCAGUCCAAAUAUUAUGACCUUUCUUCUAGGUCUCAGCAAUUCCUCUCCCUCCUCAUUUGGUAGGGCUAAUUUUUGACCUCUGGUAUGCAAUUACAAGACUCGUUUGUUCAUCUUGGCUGAUCUGCUCUCAGAAUAAACUGGAAUUCUAUUGUACUGUUGAUGGGUAAUUCCAGCUUUUUGUUCUUUACAGUUUUAAGGAGAAAAUUUUAUCAAUUCGGCAUUUGAAAUGAAUAAACAUCUUUUUAAAACUUA